UGGGGAAUAUUGGACAAUGGGCGAAAGCCUGAUCCAGCAAUGCCGCGUGAGUGAAGAAGGCCUUCGGGUUGUAAAGCUCUUUUACCCGGGAAGAUAAUGACUGUACCGGGAGAAUAAGCCCCGGCUAACUCCGUGCCAGCAGCCGCGGUAAUACGGAGGGGGCUAGCGUUGUUCGGAAUUACUGGGCGUAAAGCGCACGUAGGCGGUUUCUUAAGUCAGAGGUGAAAGCCCGGGGCUCAACUCCGGAAUUGCCUUUGAAACUGGGAGACUUGAACACGGGAGAGGUGAGUGGAAUUCCGAGUGUAGAGGUGAAAUUCGUAGAUAUUCGGAGGAACACCAGUGGCGAAGGCGGCUCACUGGACCGUUGUUGACGCUGAGGUGCGAAAGCGUGGGGAGCAAACAGG
rnacentral:rRNA from 1 species